GAUGAACGCUAGCGGCAGGCCUAACACAUGCAAGUCAGGGGUAACAUGAAAAGCUUGCUUUUCUGAUGACGACCGGCGCACGGGUGCGUAACGCGUAUACAACCACCUUUUUAGCGGGGAAUAGCCCAGGGAAACUUGGAUUAAUGCCCCAUAGUAUAUAGACUUCUCCUGAAGUUUAUAUUAAACAUUUAUGGCUAUUAGAUGGGUAUGCGUCCUAUUAGUUAGUUGGUAAGGUAACGGCUUACCAAGGCAGCGAUAGGUACGGGGUCCUGAGAGGGAGAUCCCCACACUGGUACUGAGACACGGACCAGACUCCUACGGGAGGCAGCAGUGAGGAAUAUUGGACAAUGGGCGAGAGCCUGAUCCAGCCAUGCCGCGUGCAGGAAGACUGCCCUAUGGGUUGUAAACUGCUUUUACAGAGGAAGAACCACCCUCACGUGUGGGGGUUUGACGGUACUCUGCGAAUAAGGAUCGGCUAACUCCGUG
rnacentral:rRNA from 1 species